AUGGCGGAGCACUGCCGCACUUCCGGCACGGCGACGGAGAUUUGUCGUACUUCCGGCGGAGGAAUGGCAGAUCCCUGCCUAACUUCCGGCGUGGCAAUGGCAGAACCCUGUCCGACUUCCGGCGCGGCAAUGGCGGAUCCCUGCCCAACUUCCGGCGCUGCAAUGGCGGACCCCGGGCCGCUCCCCGGCAGAACCCCGACCCCCAACAACGGCGGCGGCGGCGGCACAACGGCGGCCCCGUCGGCCACGCAGGCGGGCGGGGUGGCGAAGCACGGCCCCAGAUCCGCCACCACGGCCUCGCAGACGUCGCGGAGGAUCUUACAGACGGUCGAGCGGGAGACGCCGAAGCGGAGCUCCACCGCCCGGUAUUCGCUGCCCGCCCCCAGCCGCCACAGCGUCAGCGCCAGGCGGACCUCGGCCGGGACGGCGCGCCGCAUGCUCGUGUCCCGCCGCUGGAUGGCGGCCCGGAGGCGGCCGCAGAGGAAAUCGAAGGUGGCCGGCGCCACGCGGAAGUUGUCGGUCCACUCGCGGCGGCUGAACGCCUUGUCGCGCACCGUCUCCCAGAAGGCGCAGCUCCGCCGUUUGCUCCACAGCCGCGGGGACGGAGGAGGGAGCGCCGCCGCGCGGAGGCCGCAGCGGGCGCUGAGCCACGCCAGGAGGAAACGGCGGCGCCGGAGGCGGCGGAGGACGGAGCGGAGGCGGCGGAGGGUGCGGAGGAGGCGGAGGCGGCGGAGGCGGAUGGAGGACAGGGCGCAAAGGGCGGCGGCGCCGCCGCUGAGGGCGGAGAGGAGCGCGGGGGCCGCCAUCUUGGCAGGGCGGCGCGGAGCAGCGCGCAUGCGCGAGAAAUGGUCGGGACUCGGCGCGCAUGCGCGGCGAUGCGGGGUUGAAGAUGUGCGCAUGCGGCAGGUUUGGCCCAAUCACGGUUUGCCGUACAACGCAUGCGCAGCGAGGCGUCGUUCUGUUUGGCGAGAAGUGCGCAUGCGUGAGUGGGCGGAGCUAAAUGAAAAGGCGGCAAAUCGGGGCCAAUCAGAGUGCGGCUUAUUUUGGCGCAUGCGUAUUGCGACAUUUACGUCUCAGUUGAAAGACUGCGCAUGCGCGCUGUGGGUGGGACUAACUAAAAAACGCAGAGCAGCUCAGCCAAUCAGAACACAGUGA
rnacentral:lncRNA from 1 species